GCAUCUUGCCCAAGGGCAGAAGCCGGCGGGCGGCCAGCCUUCAGCGUCCGCGCUCGCAGCAUUCGCUGCGGCGGGGAGUUAAGUCCACCCUUGACGGGCGCUCCUCAGGACACGGUGACGCUUCAGCUGCUAACAGCGGGCGGCGGCCCCCGUCCUACAUCCGCGCUCAGGCCUCCGCGACUGACCAGCCAGCUACACAGUCUCAUUUCCGAACAUUCGAGCUGGACUUCUCCGGAAGCCAGACGCGCAGGUUCCGAAUCCUUCCACCACCGGGAAGGGAAACCUACGCAGCGCUGCGGCCCAGGUCACCGCAUUCCUAAGCUGCGCGGUGGCGGCCGAGAGGCCCGACCUCGCGACACGCGAGCCGAGGGGCCGAGGCCCGGGUGCCGCCCGGCGGCGUUCGCGCGCCCGCGACGUAAACAAGGGCAGGCUGCCCCCGCCGCCGACGCGGGCCGGCGGGCCGGAGGGCGGGGACGGCCCGGCCCGCACCCAGCUGACCUCCGCCAUGUUGGCCGCACACCGCGGGACCCUCCACAACAAAGGCCGGCGCCGGGGCCGGGGCGCCUCCCCCGGCCGGGCCCGCCUCCGGGCGCGCGGGGGCCGGGCCGCGGCGAGGAGGCCCUUCCCCGCCCCGCCGGCGCGAGGCCGACCCCCGCGGGCCGGGCCGGGCCGGGGCCGGGGGCGGCGGGCCGGGCCGAGACAAAGGCGCCGGGGCCGGGGGCUCCCGCGCCCGCCCUGCCCGCCGCCGCCGCCCGGGCCGGCCCAGCGUCCUCCGCCCGGGAGCCCCCGCGGCCGGCUCCUCCCUCGGCGGGCCCACUUACCUGUGGGCGGAGAGCGCGCCGCGGACCCCGGCCCGGCUCACACGCGCUGCGGCGCCGCCGCCAACCCCCGCCGCCGCGGGCCGCGCCCCGCCUCUUCCCCGGGCAGACACCGACGGGACACCCGGCCGCCGCCGCCGCUCGAGAGCGCGCCCCGCAACGGCCGCUCCGGCUCCCCCCUGGCCGCCGCCGCCGCCGCCGCCGCUUCGCGCGUCCUCGCGCCCGCCGCGCGCUCCCGCUAAAUACCACACACUGCGGCGGCCGCCAUGAGGAGGCGCGGCCCCGCGCGCCGGCGCCCGGGGGUGGGCGGAGCUUCCCGAGGGCGCGCAGGCGCAGAGGCGAGCGCGGCCGGCGGCGGCCCGCGCAGGCGUCGCGGUGCGGGUCGCUGAGGGCGGCGGUCGGCGUGCCGACUGCUCGCUGCCGUGGCUGCGACCGAACGCCUCGCGCUGCGCACACCCCGGCGCGACGCGCUCCUUGCGGCAGCCGUCCGCUCGCGGGCACCAGCGGGCGCCGGCCCCUGCGUCAGGAGUCGCCGCGUCCCCCGUGGAAAGCCCCUGCGGCUUUGUGUGCUGGCUAG
rnacentral:lncRNA from 1 species